AAAAUCAUAACUCAAGUCGGUAGAGCAUGAGACUUUUAAUCUCAGGGUCAUGGGUUUGAACCCCACGUUGGGGUUUUG